rnacentral:rRNA from 1 species
UGAACGGCCACAUUGGGACUGAGACACGGCCCAGACUCCUACGGGAGGCAGCAGUGGGGGAUAUUGCGCAAUGGGGGCAACCCUGACGCAGCAACGCCGCGUGAAGGAUGAAGUUUUUCGGAAUGUAAACUUCUUUCAGCAGGACGAAAAAUGACGGUACUUAAUGAAUAAGCUCCGGCUAACUACGUGCCAGCAGCCGCG